GUUCCUACGGGGGGCAGCAGUGGGGAAUAUUGCACAAUGGGGGCAACCCUGAUGCAGCGACGCCGCGUGAGCGAAGAAGUAUUUCGGUAUGUAAAGCUCUAUCAGCAGGGAAGAAAAUGACGGUAACUGACCCACCAGCAACCUACCCCUCCUCCCCCUCCCCCGCGGUAAUACGCAGGGGGCAAGCGUUAUCCGGAUUCACUGGGUGUAAAGGGAGCGCAGGCGGCGCGGUAAGUCUGAUGUGAAAGCCCGGGG
rnacentral:rRNA from 1 species